GACGAACGCUGGCGGCGUGCUUAACACAUGCCAGUCGAACGGAAAGGCCUGCUUUCCCUUGUGGAUUGCGGGUACUCGAGUGGCGAACGGGUGAGUAACACGUGAGUGAUCUGCCCCCAACUUGGGUAUAAGCCUGGAAAACUGGGUCUAAUUCCCGAUAGGACUGCAGGGUGGUGCCUGUGGUGGAAAACGAUUUUCUAGUGGUUGGGGAUGAGCUCGCGGCCUAUCAGCUUGUUGGUGGGGUAAUGGCCUACCAAGGCGGCGACGGGUAGCCGGCCUGAGAGGGUGGACGGCCACAUUGGGACUGAGAUACGGCCCAGACUCCUACGGGAGGCAGCAGUGGGGAAUAUUGCACAAUGGGCGGAAGCCUGAUGCAGCGACGCCGCGUGGGGGAUGACGGCCUUCGGGUUGUAAACUCCUUUCGACCGCGAGGAAGCCACCUGGUUGGAAGGGUGGUGACGGUAGUGGUAGAAGAAGCACCGGCUAACUACGUG
rnacentral:rRNA from 1 species